GUUAGGAUAGAGCAGUCUGGUUAAUUCAUUGGGCUCAUAAUCCGAAGAUUAGUGGUUCAAAUCCACUUUCUACCA
rnacentral:tRNA from 1 species